rnacentral:lncRNA from 1 species
AGCAUGGCCAGGGGCGGGGCUUCCCUGAGGCGCGCCGAGAGGCGGUGGCCCACUUCCGGCAAUAAUCGCCUGGUCGCCGUCAGGUGCCGGCCCAGGUGGCAGGCGCGCCCGUUGGGCACUGGGGGACGCGGGCGCGUCAGGUGAAGACUGGGGGCUGCAGGCGCGCUAGGAGAACUAUGCCAUUUUUGGGUCAGGACUGGAGAUCUCCUGGAUGGAGUUGGAUUAAGACAGAAGAUGGCUGGAAGAAUUGUGAAUCUUGUAGUCAGAAACUUGAAAGAGAGAAUAACCAUUGUAACAUCAGUCACAGCAUAGGCAUGGCUAUUGCACCUUGGGAGAAACCUUUAAUCGGUUAGACUUCUCAAGUGCAAUUCAAGAUACCCGAAGGUUCAAUUAUGUGGUCAAACUGCAGGACAAAUUCGAGCAUCUUAAAAUGAUUCAACAGGAGGAGAUAAGGAAGCUCGAGGAAGAGAAAAAACAACUGGAAGGAGAAAUCAUAGAUUUUUAUAAAAUGAAAGCUGCCUCUGAAGCACUGCAGACUCAGCUGAGCACUGAUACAAAGAAAGACAAACAUCACCAAACCAAUGCAGACCAAACCAAUGCAGAACUCCUAUGUGCUGAUGGUGGUCUUACAUUUCCCUAAGUUUCUGCCGACUAAACUGUGCACACGUUCUCAGGACCUCCUGAAGCUGCGUCACAGGCACUAAUCAAAGAACACAACCAAGAGUUUGGCCUUUUCUUCAGCACUGGGAAUUGUGAUCCAAAGCUUUUCCUGAUGAAGCACAAAGUUGGAGAAAAAAAAGCAAACUAAACAACAACAAUGAAACAGAACAGAGUUAAUCUGCUGUAGCUCAAGAGAGGAUGUACCUGCCCCCACCCCGCAUCCCUGGGCUCGGGUUUGCCUUGCUGACCUCUGCUGCCACCUGGUGCCACACAGAGAAACUGAGGAGAAACCACAUCAGUCUCCUUCAGCCUCAGCUUCACAUCUGUGGGUCAAGUAACCCUUUCAGAAGCUGAAUAAUGUGGGAAAGCUUUCCUCUCAGGAAAAUGCACACAUCCAACUUUGAGAAGAUGCCCUUGGGGGUGCUUCAAGGAUCCUAGAUAAAGAACCCCCUUUCCCGAACAUCCAAGAACCUAAGUUUUUUUUUUUUUUUUUGAGAAAGUCUCGCUCUCUCUCCCAGUCUGGAGUGCAGUGGCGUGAUCUUGGCUCACUGCAAGCUCCACCUCCCAGGUUCACGCCAUUCUCCUGCCUCAGCCUCCCGAGUAGCU